rnacentral:rRNA from 1 species
CGCGGCCUAUCAGCUUGUUGGUGAGGUAACGGCUCACCAAGGCAUCGACGGGUAGCUGGUCUGAGAGGACGAUCAGCCACACUGGAACUGAGACACGGUCCAGACUCCUACGGGAGGCAGCAGUAGGGAAUCUUGCGCAAUGGGCGAAAGCCUGACGCAGCAAUGCCGCGUGCGGGACGAAGGCCCUAGGGUCGUAAACCGCUUUCAGUAGGGACGAAAAUGACGGUACCUGCAGAAGAAGCUCCGGCCAACUACGUGCCAGCAGCCGCGGUGAUACGUAGGGAGCAAGCGUUGUCCGGAAUUACUGGGCGUAAAGGGCUCGUAGGUGGUUGAGUAAGUCAGAUGUGAAAUCUCAGGGCCCAACCCUGAGCGUGCAUUUGAUACUGCUCUGACUAGAGUCCGGUAGGGGAGUGCGGAAUUCCUGGUGUAGCGGUGAAAUGCGCAGAUAUCAGGAGGAACACCGACAGCGAAGGCAGCACUCUGGGCCGGUACUGACACUGAGGAGCGAAAGCAUGGGUAGCAAACAGGAUUAGAUACCCUGGUAGUCCAUGCCGUAAACGUUGGGCACUAGGUGUGGGGAGAACUCAACUCUCUCCGCGCCGUAGCUAACGCAUUAAGUGCCCCGCCUGGGGAGUACGGA